AACGAACGCUGGCGGCAUGCCUAACACAUGCAAGUCGAACGAGACCUUCGGGUCUAGUGGCGCACGGGUGCGUAACGCGUGGGAACCUGCCCUUAGGUUCGGAAUAACUCCCCGAAAGGGGUGCUAAUACCGGAUAAUGUCUUCGGACCAAAGAUUUAUCGCCUUUGGAUGGGCCCGCGUUGGAUUAGCUAGUUGGUAGGGUUAAAGCCUACCAAGGCGACGAUCCAUAGCUGGUCUGAGAGGAUGAUCAGCCACACUGGGACUGAGACACGGCCCAGACUCCUACGGGAGGCAGCAGUGGGGAAUAUUGGACAAUGGGCGAAAGCCUGAUCCAGCAAUGCCGCGUGAGUGAUGAAGGACUUAGGGUUGUAAAGCUCUUUUACCCGGGAUGAUAAUGACAGUACCGGGAGAAUAAGCUCCGGCUAACUCCGUG
rnacentral:rRNA from 1 species